rnacentral:rRNA from 1 species
AUGAACGCUGGCGGCGUGCCUAAUACAUGCAAGUCGAGCGAACAGAUGAGGAGCUUGCUCCUCUGACGUUAGCGGCGGACGGGUGAGUAACACGUGGAUAACCUACCUAUAAGACUGGGAUAACUUCGGGAAACCGGAGCUAAUACCGGAUAAUAUAUUGAACCGCAUGGUUCAAUAGUGAAAGACGGUUUUGCUGUCACUUAUAGAUGGACCCGCGCCGCAUUAGCUAGUUGGUAAGGUAACGGCUUACCAAGGCAACGAUGCGUAGCCGACCUGAGAGGGUGAUCGGCCACACUGGAACUGAGACACGGUCCAGACUCCUACGGGAGGCAGCAGUAGGGAAUCUUCCGCAAUGGGCGAAAGCCUGACGGAGCAACGCCGCGUGAGUGAUGAAGGUCUUCGGAUCGUAAAACUCUGUUAUUAGGGAAGAACAAAUGUGUAAGUAACUAUGCACGUCUUGACGGUACCUAAUCAGAAAGCCACGGCUAACUACGUG